rnacentral:rRNA from 1 species
AAUCAACGCUGGCGGCGUGCCUCAGACAUGCAAGUCGAACGAUUAAACUUUCCUUCGGGAAAGAUAUAAAGUGGCGCACGGGUGAGUAACACGUAAGUAAUCUACCUUUGAGUGGGGAAUAACGUUCGGAAACGGACGCUAAUACCGCAUAAUGCAGCGGCACCUAAUGGUGACAGUUGUUAAAGGAGCAAUCCGCUUAAAGAGGAGCUUGCGGCAGAUUAGCUAGUUGGUAAGGUAACGGCUUACCAAGGCUACGAUCUGUAACCGGUCUAAGAGGACGGUCGGUCACACUGACACUGAAUAACGGGUCAGACUCCUACGGGAGGCAGCAGUCGGGAAUUUUGGGCAAUGGGCGAAAGCCUGACCCAGCAACGCCGCGUGAAGGAUGAAGUAUUUCGGUAUGUAAACUUCGAAAGAAUGGGAAGAAUCAAUGACGGUACCAUUUAUAAGGUCCGGCUAACUACGUGCCAGCCGCCGCAGUAAU